GUAUAAGAUGAGAUAACACAUAUACUAAAGCCAGAAUGAUACAGAGAAGAUUAGGAUAGUCCCCACAAAAGGAUGACAUGCAUAUUUGUGAAGCAUUCCACAAUUUU